GGCGAUGUUUGAGCUGCUAAAGCUUUUAAAUCCUCACACCCUUAAUAUUCAAAACAAAGUUACACCCGUGCUACCUUCUGUUUAUUAUUCAUAAAGUGUUUUUUUUUUUUUUGUCUGUUUAUAUUCUGUUAAGUAUAACUCAACUUAAUGGUUAAUGAAAGUUCAAACCCCAGUGCUGUAAAAGUCGAGUAGACACUGUGUGGGGUUAUUACUAAUAUGUGGUUAUUUACACGUUUAUAACACGUCUAUAAGCUGUCAUAGUCCUGCUGUAUUGGAGAAUGAAGAUGUCUCUAAACAUGACGGUGGACUGAAGAGACGUCAAAGCCGGUAAAGCAGACCGUCCUGAGGCUCAAAUGCAGAAUCAUUAAUAGGUAUUUUACAUAAAACUGGUAUUUCCUCCAACCCACCCACCCUUAGUCCAAAUAUAACUGAUCAGGCAAGACAUGUCCUGAUUUGACGGAGUACUGUUAAAGCAACAGUUCCUUACACAAAUGAAAUCUUAGCCCUGAGUUUGUGAUUUUAAUUUUGCACAGAAGCAGGUUGACACUACGAACGAGUAAUGAAAGUUUCACCACCCAUCAGAUUAUUACCUCCUUCUUGCACUGCUUAAGUGUGAAGUUUGUGAUAAAACACCCGAGGGCAUGCUGUUACAGGAAAAUGAUCAACUUCGGGGUGGUGCGAUGAAGCGCUGUUACUGUUCAAGUUACUGUUACCAUCCAGAAGUGGAUUAUUUUCCGCUAACAGCACGUCCCGAAGUGUUUUAUUCCUCUUACACCACAGCAAUUACUGACUAUUUUAGGUUUUAAUUUAUUAUCGAACACGUCCAAAUUUUUUUUUUUAGUCUGUGUAUAGUUACGUUAGAAAUUAUAAAUACAAAGGCAACGUCCAAUACGGUACAUCGGUCCAUUCGUGUUUCUUGAUGUGAUUACCAAAGUACUGUUUGCAGAGAAGCAGCUUCAUAUCAUGACGCUCCCACCUUCCGUGCUUCACUGUGGGUGUUCCUGGGGUCUGACCAGAGUAUAUUGGGGUCUGACCUGAGUAUAUUGGGGUUGGACCAGAGUUCCUGGAGUGUGACCAGAGUAUAUUGUCCCCAAAAAAGGUUUUUGUCUUAUUUGUCUUUAGACACACAUCUCUGUGCUUCUGUUUAGCAGUGGAGAUUUGAAUGAGGUAUAGAAAUGAAGAUGAUUGCAGACAGUGCAGCAUUUUGUUCUCUGAUUAACUGUGGUUCCUGCUGCUUUCAAGAGCCCUGCAACUCUUUUCAAGCGACUGCUGACUUCUCUCUUAGCUUCUGUACCUGUAACCCAAGAGCAUGUUGGGAAAUCACACGUGGCGCACCUGUCUUGUGACAGUUGGUUGGGGGCCUGUGAAUUUUCCAUCUACUUCUUAUUCCCAACCAGUGGCAGCGUCUUAUAUAAUGACACCUAGUGCAAUUUGCAGAAUAAUUUCUUUGGCGUAUAUAUGUAUCAUCGUUGUUAUUUUUAUGUAACCUUUACACUUGUAUAUAUUUUGUCUGAGUACUUUUUUCCUCUUUUGGUUUAUGAAAUAGGGGUGUAAUGAUACAUUGGGACGCUGUGCAUCGUAGAAAUGUGCAAUAUGGACCUUCUGUUAAUUAUGCAUCUAAUGCAUUUGCACUGUUUGAUCACAAGAAGUCCUAUAUCUGUGCUACCCAUAGAGUUAUAAUAUAAAGAGAGCACGCUGGUCACAUGAUCACAUUCUUUUGUGGACAGUCUGUACCAAUGCCGCAAAUAAUCUGCACUUGUGAAGUGAAACAUCUGGAUCGCAACGACUGACCUGCAGUAUACAUUAUAUAGUUACACUACUACGUUAUAAAAGUUAAAAAGGGUAGCUUUCAAACGACAAGAGCUACACGCCGCCGUGAUCUCCGUUGCCUGGGAACGAGGCAGCGGAAGUUGGCCAUUUUAGCCGACUUUGGAGCUCUGUUUCUGGUUAAAACGAUGCCUCGGGUCCUGCUACGGAGCUCAUUAUGUUUCAAGCGAUCAUUUUCAACGGGUCAGACUCAGAUUUUAAGAUACGGUGAACCCGCAGUACAUUUUGCUUACAAUAUUAAACUUCUGUUCAUAGCAAUUUAUUUAUUUAUUUUAUACAGACAGUAAUGCACAUUGUUUUGCAUUGAUUGUGAUUCAUAAUUUUUUUUUUUUUUUAAAGAGUGUUUUUAGUCAUAAUUCAAAUUUUGUUAAGAAUAAUCUGACAAUUGAAUCGUGAGGGGAGUGCAUCAUUACAGCCCUGUUAGAAAACGAUUAGAACCUUUUAAGCGGAUGCACUGUACCACCAUCUAGUGAAACACACAGCAGUUUCUCUGUUCAGCGGAACACAAAAACACACGAAGGCAAUGAAGCGCUCUUCAUUUAAUACUUUAUAACAUAGAAAAUGCAAACAAAAUCAAACACAACUGAUGUGAUUUUUUUCCUGAUACAAAACACAGUGUAAGAACAAUGUAUUUCACCAAAAAAAAAAGACGUUUACAACCUAAGGUGUUUCCAGAUGGUAUUAAAACAUCUGAGAGCCGAAGCGAUAUGAAAAUGGGCACGUGUGCUUCCCUUAAAUACCGAGGAGACAGAACGGACCUCUAUCUCCACUUCUGUUUAUGUCGUUAUGUCAAUUAACCUUAAUAGCAAAACUCAAUUUGGAAUAUAUAUAAUGUGAAGCACUAUAUUAUUUAAAAAAAAAACAAAAAAAAAAAAAACAACUCUGAUUAGAGAUUAAGGCACAUUCUAUUUAAGGCUUUCAUAUUGCAUGAGCAAAGCUAGAAAUGAAUCAAUCAUCGAUAUUAAUAAAAAUAAAAAAAGAGAAAGAAAAAAACCAGCAGAGAAGCAGAAAUGACAAGGUGAUGUGUGAUCAUGUUAUUCCCCGUUGACGGGAUCAUAACAACACUUACAAGAAUGUAAAUUUGGCUAUAAAAUGAUGUAAUUACUCUCAAACAGGCAUGUGCCAAUAAAUCAGUAAGCAGUAUGUAACGUUAAUGUAAAAUUAACAUCACUACCCCUCUGCUUUAUUCAGAAAUGUUCUUAGGGUCCAGUUUAAACAAGAAUGUUUACGUGUCCUUUACAGAGAAAACACACCUGACAAACAGGUUAGAAAUCGGGUAAAAAUACACAACAUCGUAGGACUAAUUUAAAAAAAAAAAAAAAAAAAAAAAAACCCACACUAGGCUGUUUUUGUUAUUUGCCAAUUAAAUGUCAACAAAUGCCUACUCUCGAGUAAUUCAACGCUUUAAUCGAACUGAAUUUUUCUUACAAGAUGUACUUCAUAUAAAAACGUACACUCUGACACCAGAAAUAAGAAUCAGAAUAUGACUGUUUGGCUUGGCGUAAUUAUGCAGAAAAAUGUACAAGCAUGUUUCUGAUUCGAAUAAACUAACGUAUAUUUAAAUAAAAGAAAGAAAGUUAGUGUUUAAUGGUUCCGAUUUUUUUCCUUCUUCUUCAAAAACAAUCAUUUGGCUGAAGGCAAGUCAUUUAUCACCGGGACAUCAACCAAUUAAACGUGUACACAGUCAAUAAAUUGAACACAAGGCACUGGGAAAGUGUAUUAAGGUCUGGAUUCGGUGCGAGAGUCGUCUCUAAACGGAGCGAGAAUAGUGUGAAAGUGUUAUUUUCAUGUCCCAGAGAGACGACGGAUUUCUGUAAUUUGAGGCACUUAGAUGUCAGAAUAAAUGAAUAAAUAGUCUAAUUCAUACUCUAUAAAGACUCUACAUGUUAAAGUGUGUAACGUCCGAGGG